rnacentral:rRNA from 1 species
GUCUUUUUGAAUUAAAUUUAAAGUCUAACCUGCCCACUGAAAAUUUUAAAUGGCCGCAGUAUUUUAACUGUGCAAAGGUAGCAUAAUCAUUAGUCUUUUAAUUGAAGGCUGGAAUGAAUGGUUGGACGAAAUAUUAACUGUUUCAUUUAAAUUUUUUAUAGAAUUUUAUUUUUUAGUUAAAAAGCUAAAAUAAAUUUAAAAGACGAGAAGACCCUAUAAAUCUUUAUAUUUUGUUUAUUUUAAUUAUAAAGAUUAUUUUUAUUAUAAUAAAUAAAAAUAUUUUAUUGGGGUGAUAUUAAAAUUUAAAAAACUUUUAAUUUUUAAAACCAUUAAUUUAUGAAUAAUUGAUCCAUUAAUAGUGAUUAAAAAUUUAAGUUACUUUAGGGAUAACAGCGUAAUUUUUUUGGAGAGUUCAUAUCGAUAAAAAAGAUUGCGACCUCGAUGUUGGAUUAAGAUAUAAUUUUGGGUGUAGCUGUUCAAAUUUUAAGUCUGUUCGACUUUUAAAUUCUU